AUUGAACGCUGGCGGCACGCCUAACACAUGCAAGUCGAGCGGCAGCGAGACUAGUAGCAAUACUAGUUGUCGGCGAGCGGCGGACGGGUGAGUAACACGUAGGAAUCUGCCCUUAAGUGGGGGAUAACCAAGGGAAACUUUGGCUAAUACCGCAUAAUCUCGAGAGAGCAAAGCUGCCCGCAAGGGUGGCACUUGAGGAGGAGCCUGCGGCGGAUUAGCUAGUUGGUGGGGUAAUGGCCUACCAAGGCGAUGAUCGGUAACUGGUCUGAGAGGACGACCAGUCACACGGGGACUGAGACACGGCCCAGACUCCUACGGGAGGCAGCAGUGGGGAAUAUUGGACAAUGGGGGCAACCCUGAUCCAGCGAUGCCGCGUGAGUGAAGAAGGCCUUCGGGUCGUAAAGCUCUUUAGGUUGGGAAGAAGGGUAUUGGCUGAAUAAUCCAGUACUUUGACGGUACCGACAGAAUAAGCACCAGCAAACUCUGUGCCAGCAGCCGCCGUAACAC
rnacentral:rRNA from 1 species